GCUUAUUGGAUAUCUUGGGCCCCUUGGAUUAAGACCACUAAGGUGCUUAUAUUUUCUUAAGAAGAUUGAUUGGGUUUAAGCCCAUUGGUUUAUUUCACUCUACCACUGCACACAUCAGCCGCUCAAAGUAAAUACACAAGCCAUAUCUGAAACUAUCAAGCAUAGUAUAUCCUCUUCUUCCCUUCUCAAGACUUAUAAUCUUAUGUCACCAUAUCUGAUUCAUACUGGUUGUGCUUCUCAUGUCACCAGAUUGGGUGAUUCAUACUCUCCGCCUCUCUUCUCUGCCACUCCAAAUGCCCAUGCAGCUCUCAAGUUCCCCCAAAUUUGAAGAUGGAGAGGGUCGCCGGGCAUCACUGUUUCUCUAUUUUUUGGAUUGGUUGAAAAGCUGGUGUUUUAUUCUUUAAUCUGUCCUUAUCCCUUAUUUGUUUCUUACCAUCUCUUUCACGUGUUUGCGUAAUAUCUUUAUUUGUUUCUAUGUUUGGAGUUGAGUUGAGUUGAAAUGAUAACUUCCUCAUUUUUUAAAAAUACAAAAACAAUGAAAAUGCUUUGAACAUACAUUUCUUCCUCGUUUGAUUUUUCUCUAUUUAUUAGUAGUUGCUCUCUCACAAGCAAGUCAUUCCCAUUUCCCAGAACUGUUAUUUAAUUGCUUUCUCUUAGCUAACAUUCUUAAUUCUAAAAGUCCAUUUGGUACUCAGAAUUUAAUAUGAGUACUCACAGCUGCUACGGGGUGCUGCUCAUAAUCUGGCUGAGCACAGUGGCGUAACUAGAAAUUUUAGGAAGCCUAGGCAAAUUUUAUGAUUAAGUCUCUAAACUUUGCAUUUCCUUAUAAAUUUGCCUUUUUUCUAUUUUUUUUUUUGCCAAAAAACCUACCUAGUCCAAAGAAAUUUGCAUUUUUUUUACUUUGAGCCAGGGCAUUGGACCUACCAAGCCCUGUGGUAGGUCCGCCACUGGCUGAGCAUGACUGUCAGCGGCGAUCCAUUGUCCAGCAGUCCGGCCACCACCUCUCCGGAGUCAAAGACCCUAGAUCAAUCAUUUCUAAAGGAAAACAAACGUGUGUUUAUUAUAUUUGGUAUUGUGGCAGGAGUCAUUGUUUUGAUGGCACUGUUAUAUAUUUGCUGGCCUGAAAUAAGGAGACUCACUACCAGUAGACGAUGAAGUCAAACCGCGUGGAAUUGCUGUGAUUCUGUAGCUUUUUUGUUCAUCUAUUAUUGCUGGUGGUUUGAUGGUGCAGGGCCUUCUCGUGUUGCUACAGCCAACCUCUGUUCCUGUCUUUUUCAUGUUUCCUUAAUUUUCAUGUUGUAUUUCAUUAUCAGUAUGCACUUCUAUCCUAUUGUACUUGGGUUAGCACCCCUCACAUAUUUGUAUUAUUAUUCAUAUAUACGUCUGUGUAAUUUUCAUCUUGAUAAUAUUACGUACUUUGCAUCA